rnacentral:misc_RNA from 1 species
GAUGAAGAACGCAGCGAAAUGCGAUAAGUAGUGUGAAUUGCAGAAUUCCGUGAAUCAUCGAAUCUUUGAACGCACAUUGCGCCUUCUGGUAUUCCGGAAGGCAUGCCUGUUCGAGAGUCAUUAACAACCGUUUCGAUCCCUUUCUUUCAGAAAUUACAAAGAGGAAAAGGGUUUGGUUAUGGUGGAGGAGGGAAAGGGAGCGUUUAGCCUGUAAAAAAAGAGGCUGUGUUCCGCCUCCCCCCCAAAAUUGUACAGGCGGUCGUGUGCGCCCACGCAUCGAGGUGUUGUAAAAGCUGCCACGGCACUUUUCACCUGUGCAGUGCGAGAUUGGCCAGCCGAUUUAAAAACCCCUCCAAACAAUCAAAGGUUGACCUCGGAUCAGGUAGGGAUACCCGCUGAACUUAAGCAUAUCAAUAAGCGGAGGA